rnacentral:ribozyme from 1 species
CAUCGUCUUUUUCUUUUUCUUCUUUUUUUUUUCUUCUUUCUUUUUCCUUUCUUCUUUUUUCUCUCCAGUAGAUAGUGUAGAAUAAAACAACGUACAUGAA